rnacentral:rRNA from 1 species
UGGGGAAUAUUGGACAAUGGGCGAAAGCCUGAUCCAGCCAUGCCGCGUGUGUGAAGAAGGUCUUCGGAUUGUAAAGCACUUUAAGUUGGGAGGAAGGGCAUUAACCUAAUACGUUAGUGUUUUGACGUUACCGACAGAAUAAGCACCGGCUAACUCUGUGCCAGCAGCCGCGGUAAUACAGAGGGUGCAAGCGUUAAUGGGAAUUACUGGGCGUAAAGCGAGCGUAGGUGGUUUGUUAAGUUGGAUGUGAAAUCCCCGGGCUCAACCUGGGAACUGCAUUCAAAACUGACUGACUAGAGUAUGGUAGAGGGUGGUGGAAUUUCCUGUGUAGCGGUGAAAUGCGUAGAUAUAGGAAGGAACACCAGUGGCGAAGGCGACCACCUGGACUAAUACUGACACUGAGGUGCGAAAGCGUGGGGAGCAAACA